AGGUGAAAUUUGGUUACUCAGGUGUAAUUAGGUGUGGUGUAAAAUUAUUUUGAAGCUAUUAAGUUUUAGGUAUAAAACAGGAUUAGAUACCCUGCUAUACUUUAAUUAAAGUUAGUGGUUUGAGUAGUAAACAGUUAUAUUCUUUAAACUUAAAGAAUUUGGCGGUAUUUUAGUCCUGUUAGAGGAACCUGUUCCGUAAACGAUAUUCCCCGAAUAAUCUUACUUUUCUUUGUAGUCCAGUUUGUAUACCGCCAUUAUUAGAUAGUUUUAUAAAGAUCUGUUUUAAUAGUUUGAAUUAAUAUAUUAGGUCAAGGUGCAGCUUAUAGGAGAGCAGGUAAUGGGUUACAUUAUAAUAUGUUAAAACGAAUAAAUAGAGAGAUCUUUAUUUAGAAGGUGGAUUUAAUAGUAAGGUUGUUUUAAUAUGGCAUUCUGAUAUCGGCUCUAAAAUAUGUA
rnacentral:rRNA from 1 species